rnacentral:tRNA from 1 species
GUGCUUGUUCAGCUAACUGCAGCGGACUCAUAAUCCGUUGGUCCUCAGUUCAAAUCUGAGCAGGCCCACCA